rnacentral:rRNA from 1 species
CCUACGGGAGGCAGCAGUGAGGAAUAUUGGUCAAUGGGCGAGAGCCUGAACCAGCCAAGUCGCGUGAGGGAUGACGGCCCUACGGGUUGUAAACUUCUUUUGUCAGGGAGCAAUUGAGUCCACGUGUGGGCGUAGCGAGAGUACCUGAAGAAAAAGCAUCGGCAAACUCCGUGCCAGCAGCCGCGGUAAUACGGAGGAUGCGAGCGUUAUCCGGAUUUAUUGGGUUUAAAGGGUGCGUAGGCGGAAUUUCAAGUCAGCGGUAAAAAUUCGGGGCUCAACCCCGUCGGGCCGUUGAAACUGGGGUUCUUGAGUGGGCGAGAAGUAUGCGGAAUGCGUGGUGUAGCGGUGAAAUGCAUAGAUAUCACGCAGAACUCCGAUUGCGAAGGCAGCAUACCGGCGCCCAACUGACGCUGAGGCACGAAAGCGUGGGUAUCGAACAGGAUUAGAUACCCUUGUAGUC